ensembl:snRNA U6 U6 spliceosomal RNA
GUGCUUGCUGUGGUGGCACACAUACUAAAAUUGGAAAGACACAGAGAAGAUUAGCAUGGCCCUGUGCAAGAGUGACAUGCAAAUUCAUGAAGCAUUCCAUAUUUUA